rnacentral:rRNA from 1 species
AUUGAACGCUGGCGGCAGGCCUAACACAUGCAAGUCGAGCGGAUGAAGGGAGCUUGCUCCUGGAUUCAGCGGCGGACGGGCGAGUAAUGCCUAGGAAUCUGCCUGGUAGUGGGGGCUAACGUCCGGAAACGGGCGCUAAUACCGCAUACGUCCUGAGGGAGAAAGUGGGGGAUCUUCGGACCUCACGCUAUCAGAUGAGCCUAGGUCGGAUUAGCUAGUUGGUGGGGUAAAGGCCUACCAAGGCGACGAUCCGUAACUGGUCUGAGAGGAUGAUCAGUCACACUGGAACUGAGACACGGUCCAGACUCCUACGGGAGGCAGCAGUGGGGAAUAUUGGACAAUGGGCGAAAGCCUGAUCCAGCCAUGCCGCGUGUGUGAAGAAGGUCUUCGGAUUGUAAAGCACUUUAAGUUGGGAGGAAGAGCAGUAAGUUAAUACCUUGCUGUUUUGACGGUACCAACAGAAUAAGCACCGGCUAACUUCGUG